rnacentral:rRNA from 1 species
UACAGAGGGGGCCAGCGUUAUUCGGAAUUAUUGGGCGUAAAGGGCGCGUAGGCGGCCAUGCGUGUCUCCCGUGAAAUCCCUCGGCUCAACCGAGGACGUGCGGAAGAAACUGCAGGGCUCGAGUCCGGAAGAGGGGGGCGGAAUUCCCAGUGUAGCGGUGAAAUGCGUAGAUAUUGGGAGGAACACCAGUGGCGAAGGCGGUCCCCUGGGCCGGAACUGACGCUGAGGCGCGAAAGCGUGGGUAGCAAACGGG